AGAGAAAGCAUCCAAAGGGAUCGCAUUGAUCCUAAUUAAGCUGAUUUAUUCCCCAAUAUUUUAUUUUCCUCAUUCGAAAGUUGGAGAAAAAAAAAAAAAAUUCUAAACAUUUGCUUUCUUUUCCGGAUCAUGCGAUCUCUUUGGAUUCAUUCUU
rfam:Arabidopsis lyrata subsp. lyrata unplaced genomic scaffold ARALYscaffold_5, whole genome shotgun sequence.